rnacentral:misc_RNA from 1 species
UCCUCGUUGAAGCGAGGCAGUCUGUCCAGAGUGCUCCUCUCUCUCGAGAGGGUGGCAACAGGACACAAGGGUUGCGCUCGUUGCGGGACUUAACCCAACAUCUCACGACACGAGCUGACGACAGCCAUGCAGCACCUGUGCAAGCUGGUAUUGCUACCUCGUCCCACUUUCAUGGUUCUACUACUUGCAUGUCAAGGCCAGGUAAGGUUCUUCGCGUUGCAUCGAAUUAAGCCACAUACUCCACCGCUUGUGCAGGCCCCCGUCAAUUUCUUUGAGUUUUAAUCUUGCGACCGUACUUCCCAGGCGGCUUAUUUAACGCGUUUGCUACGCCACAAAAGGGGUCGAUUCCUUUUACAGCAAAUAAGCACCGUUUACGGCUAGGACUAC